AUGUUGGGCAUGGCCGCGCCGGAGGGAAGGCGGAGGCGGCGGCGGCGGCAGAGCUCGAGCCGAGCUUCCCCAGCGGAGGCGGAAAGAGCGAGAGCGCGGGCGCGCGCGCGGGCUCCGGGAGCUGUUAUUUAUCUGCAUUGGUGACGCAAGGGGACAGGGCCAUCACGCCCUCAUCCGCAUGCAUCUCUUUCACGCGCAGAUGAGAGGGAUCCACUUGUGCGAUGACAUCUCCCACACUUGUAGCUUUGUGUUUUGAGUGAUGCCAUCAACUCAAAAGCUAGUCAUUAAAAGUUUGAAGUAGUCUGAGGUGCUGCACCUGCCCUGACCACUCUGCCAGUUUUUCUAGGCUUGUAAUCGGAUUUUCUGUUUUUUAAAAAGUAUUUCUCUCUCCCCUUCUGCUGUGUGUCCAUGCUGCUGGAGGGAUUAUACGCACAAAAUGCAGAGAGUAAACAAGAGAAAAAAGUGUGUUUGCCUAUCUUUCAGUUACAGUAUUACUUGUAACAACAAUAUGUAAAAAAAAAUCCAGGAGUUGGGCUUUAAGAAACACACCAGUUAUCACCAGACUUGCAAUAAAAUCUUCAGAGCUGGCAACAAGAUGACUUUUGAAGAUUUUUUAUUUUUUUAUUUUGUAAACUGCUGCAUCCAUUUACGGUGCUUUAUA